UGCCUACGGGACGCAGCAGUGGGGGAUAUUGCACAAUGGGGGCAACCCUGAUGCAGCGACGCCGCGUGAGCGAUGGAGUACUUCGGUAUGUAAAGCUCUGUCCGCAGGGAAGAGAAUGACGGUACCUGACCAAGAAGCCCCGGCUAAAUACGUGCCAGCAGCCGCGGUAAUACGUAUGGGGCAAGCGUUAUCCGGAUUUACUGGGUGUAAAGGGGGCGCAGACGGCGAUGCAAGCCAGGAGUGAAAGCCCGGGGCCCAACCCCGGGACUGCUCUUGGAACUGCGUGGCUGGAGUGCAGGAGGGGG
rnacentral:rRNA from 1 species